CCGAAAGGCGUAGUCGAUGGGAAGCAGGUCAACAUUCCUGCGCCACCGUUAGACGUUUGCACCGUGGGGAGACGGCGUGUGGAAGGACAGCCGGUUAGUAGAUUCCGGUUUCUAUUGAGGGGAGGCAGAUAGGUAAAUCCGUCUGCGGAAUCUCCGAAAUGGGACGAUCCGUAAGGAGAAGUGUCUGGAUGUGCGUCCGAGAAAAACCUCGUUCGGAAGUCGAAAUGGUGACCGUACCUAAACUGACACAGGUUGGCGGGUUGAAGAUACCAAGGCGCUCGAGAGAACCCUCGUUAAGGAACUCGGCAAAUUUGCCCCGUAAGUUCGCGAGAAGGGGCGCCCAGGCAACUGGGCCACAGAGAAGAAGUAGGAGCGACUGUUUACUAAAAACACAGGGCUCUGCGAAGUCGCAAGACGACGUAUAGGGUCUGACGCCUGCCCGGUGCCUGAAGGUUAAAAGGAGAUGUGAGAGCGUCGAAUUGAAGCCCAGGUAAACGGCGGCCGUAACAAUAACGGUCCUAAGGUAGCGAAAU
rnacentral:rRNA from 1 species